rnacentral:lncRNA from 1 species
AUUCAAAUAAUAUUUUAUGUAUUUCAAUCAAAGUUUUAAGUGCCCAUCGGUACGAGCCGUAUCCACCGUGCCGUACCGUGUCAACAAGAUAUCAGCACGAUUCAGACCCUGUGCCGAUGGCACGGCUCAGAAACCUCUAUUUUUUAAAUUAGUAAGUAAUUUCCUCAAUAAAGUUCAAAAGAUGUGAUAAAAAGAUAUAAUAAAUAGUUAGAAUAUUUUGUUGCUAAAGAUGUGAUAAAAAGAUAUAAUGUUAUAAUGCAGCAUGUAGGG